GGUUGCACCUGUGGUAUAUGGAAGUUCCCAGGUUAUGGAUCAAAUCAGAGCUGCAGCUACCGGCCUACACCUCAACAACAGCAACGCCAGAUCCAAGCCUCAUCUGUUACCUAUGCCAAAGCUUGCGGCAAUGCUGGAUCCUUAACCCACUGAGCACUACAGGAACUCCCUAGUACCUAAUUUUUAAAGCUAAGGUGGCUAAAGUUGAAUGGUUACUUCUUACUAAAUGAUAAAUAUUUCAGGAAGGGCAAGGACUUUUGUGUAUUCAUGUUAACUCUCUCUGAAGCAUAGAACAUGCACCAGGGCUCAGUGAAUAUUUCUUUCAAAAAAUGAUUAAAAUGAUGACCUUAUCUCUAAAGUUUGCUAUGGAAUACAAGCAGUUAUUUUCGAUAUGCUAAAUUCUUCAAGGAUGCAUUUAAUUUCAGUUCUGACCUUUAUAUGGCCUUUCUUAACUCUCUUCCAAUAUUUGGUAGUAUUUUGCUUAUCUGCUCUAGGUGUGAGAGCAAUAACUACUGGCUUCAUUCCUCAGUAUGCUUUCCUGUUCCCUGAAGAGAUAAAAGACUUGAACGAGUUAUGUGCUAGCUUCAUAGUCAUCACCAUGUUCACUGCAGGGCUAUAUUGUCAGUAAUCAGGAUCUAAAUUCACUUCAUUUUGCAUGGCAUUUGUUAGAGUUAUUAGUUUAUGAAUCAAAAGAAAUAUGGAAAGUUUUUCUAAAAAGAAUACAUCAGGUGUACAGUACUGCGUUUACACUAACACAGUGGUGCUCCAACUUACAUAUAUAUAUAUAUGAAUCACCCUAGAUCUGAGAUGUCCAAUACAACAGCCACUACCUGUGUGGCAAUGGAGCACUUGUGUUGUGGGCAGUCAAAUCAAGAUGUGCUGUGAUGAGCAACAGGCACCUGAAACAAUGCUCUGUAUCACUGAUUAUUAGAGAAAUGCAAAUCUAAACUACCAUGAGAUACCACCUCACACCAGUCAGAAUAUCCAUCAUUAAUAAGUCCGCAUGGAGUUCCCGUCGUGGCACAGUGGUUAACUAAUCCGACUAAGAACCAUAAGGUUGCAGGUUCAAUCCCUGGCCUUGCUCAUGGGUUAACGAUCCAGCGUUGCCAUGAGCAGUGGUGUAGGUUGCAGACGCAGCUCGGAUCCCGUGUUGCUGUGGCUCUGGCGUAGGCCAGUGGCUACAGCUCCAAUUCGACCCCUAGCCUGGGAACCUCCAUAUGCCGACCGCAGCUCGACCGCUUGCAGCGCAGCCGGCCGGCUCUCCAGAAAGGCAGCCUUCUCACUGUGGACGGGAGGAGAAACGCGGCGCUAUCGCCAACUAUUUCCAACUGAGCAGUUCGGCCCUCCAAUUUCUCUUUACGGGCGUGCAGCGAUUCCUGAGCGUCAGUUCCCCCAAGGCGUCUGCCAACCAGCUAGCGCGACUUCUCGAAUGGGUCACAGACUGGGCCGUCCCGCGCCGCAAAACUCUAGUCCACUCCUGACCCCGAGCCGCCCCAUCCGCCCGGGGCGUACUUGGCUCGAGCUAGGCGGCAGCUUCGCCUCCAAAGGCGACUGUUCGUUUGAAUUCUGGCGCCACU
rnacentral:lncRNA from 1 species